rnacentral:rRNA from 1 species
AUUACUUUGUAGUUUACUAUAUUGUAAUCUUAGUGGCGGACGGGUGAGUAACACGUGGGUAAUCUGCCUGAUAAUCUGGGAUAACAGGGUGAAAACGCUGCUAAUACCGGAUAAGCUCACAAAGGACGGGAGUCCCGGUGAGAAAAGGAGCAAUCCGUUAUCAGAUGAGCCCGCGGCUGAUUAGCUAGUUGGUGGGGUAAAGGCCUACCAAGGCAACGAUCAGUAGCCGGCCUGAGAGGGUGUACGGCCACACUGGAACUGAGACACGGUCCAGACUCCUACGGGAGGCAGCAGUGGGGAAUUUUCCGCAAUGGGCGAAAGCCUGACGGAGCAAUGCCGCGUGAGUGACGAAGGCCUUCGGGUUGUAAAGCUCUGUCUUCAGGGACGAUAAUGACGGUACCUGAGGAGGAAGCCACGGCUAACUACGUGCCAGCAGCCGCGGUAAUACGUAGGUGGCAAGCGUUGUCCGGAAUGACUGGGCGUAAAGGGCGUGUAGGUGGAUGGGUCAGUCGGAUGUGAAAUCCCUAGGCUUAACCUAGGAACUGCAUUCGAAACGGCCUGUCUUGAGUGCAGGAGAGGGCAGUGGAAUUCCCAGUGUAGCGGUGAAAUGCGUAGAUAUUGGGAGGAACACCAGUGGCGAAGGCGGCUGCUUGGACUGUAACUGACACUGAGGCGCGAAAGCGUGGGGAGCAAACAGGAUUAGAUACCCUGGUAGUCCACGCCGUAAACGAUGGGUACUAGGUGUAGGAGG